GAUGAACGCUGGCGGCGUGCCUAAUACAUGCAAGUCGAACGAAACUUCUUUAUCACCGAGUGCUUGCACUCACCGAUACAGGGUUGAGUGGCGAACGGGUGAGUAACACGUGGGCAACCUGCCCUAAAGAGGGGGAUAACACUAGGAAACAGGUGCUAAUACCGCAUAACCAUGGUUACCGCGUGGCAACGAUUUAAAAUGUGCUUAUCCUUCAUCAUUUUGUUGGUCCUGCGGUGCAUUAGCUAGUCUUUAGGGUAAAGCCUUACUAAGACAGUGAUGCGUAGCCGAAGGGAGAGGUGGGUCGGCGACAUUGGAACGGAGACGCGGACCAUACGACUGCGAGAGGCAGCAGUAGGGAACGUGCGACAGUGGGCGAAAGCCUGAUGGAGUAACGCCGCGUGUGUGAAGAAGAUGUUCGGAUCGUAAUACCGGGUUGUUAGUGAAGAAAGGGCGUGAGAGUAAAUGUUCACGUUUCGACGGUAGCUAAUCAGAAAGCCACUGCUAACUACGUG
rnacentral:rRNA from 1 species